ensembl:rRNA 5S_rRNA 5S ribosomal RNA
CUCUAUGGCCAUAACACCCUGAACAUUCCUGGUCUUGUCUUUUCUGAUCUUAAAAGCUAAGCAGGGUUGGGUCUGGUUAGUACUUGAAUGGGAGACCGUUUAGGAAUACCAGGUGCUGUAGGCU